CUGGCUGCAACUGUUUAAUAAAAACACAGCACUCUGCAAACACGAAAGUGGACGUAUAGGGUGUGACGCCUGCCCGGUGCUGGAAGGUUAAUUGAUGGGGUCAGCCGCAAGGCGAAGCUCUUGAUCGAAGCCCCAGUAAACGGCGGCCGUAACUAUAACGGUCCUAAGGUAGCGAAAUUCCUUGUCGGGUAAGUUCCGACCUGCACGAAUGGCGUAAUGAUGGCCAGGCUGUCUCCACCCGAGACUCAGUGAAAUUGAACUCGCUGUGAAGAUGCAGUGUACCCGCGGCAAGACGGAAAGACCCCGUGAACCUUUACUAUAGCUUGACACUGAACAUUGAACCUUGAUGUGUAGGAUAGGUGGGAGGCUUUGAAGUGUGGACGCCAGUCUGCAUGGAGCCGACCUUGAAAUACCACCCUU
rnacentral:rRNA from 1 species